AAGGCCUAAGGGGGACUAGAGGUGGAGCAACGAAAAGCAGGAGCCUUAGUGAGCAGCAGAACAGGAUGAUGGCCUUUGCAUCAAUGGCUCAUCCCUUGGCUUGGUCCUGGAGUUGGCAUCGUCAGCAUUUAUAUGUUCCAUAUCUCUACCGUUUUUACUGAUCAGUUGCAUGAUUACUAUUUCCAAACCUGUUCACUUGUUUCAAUUUUCAUGUAUUUGAAUAAGCACGCUACGCUUGAUUUCUCCUCUAGCCCCAUCUGUUAUGGUUUGCUAGCUCUAUCCAUUAAAUUAGUAUGCAUGUAUGCAUUUACUAUAUAAUGCAAACCUAUGGGUUGCAGCCAUUGUAAUAAUAAACUUACUAUGAAUCUUAUUUCAAAGUUUAGUUGGCCAGGUGCCAUGGG
rnacentral:sRNA from 1 species